rnacentral:rRNA from 1 species
UUUUCAGUGUCGCAGCGAAAGCGAUAAACACACCGCCUGGGGAGUACGACCGCAAGGUUAAAACUCAAAUGAAUUGACGGGGACCCGCACAAGUAGUGGAGCAUGUGGUUUAAUUCGAAGAUACGCGCAGAACCUUACCAACACUUGACAUGUUCGUCGCGACUCUAAGAGAUUAGAGUUUUCGGUUCGGCCGGACGAAACACAGGUGCUGCAUGGCUGUCGUCAGCUCGUGUCGUGAGAUGUUGGGUUAAGUCCCGCAACGAGCGCAACCCUCACUUUUAGUUGCCAUCAUUUAGUUGGGCACUCUGAAAGAACUGCCAGUGAUAAGCUGGAGGAAGGUGGGGAUGACGUCAAGUCCUCAUGGCCCUUACGUGUUGGGCUACACACGUGCUACAAUGGCAUCUACAAUAGGAAGCAAGAUGGCGACAUCAAGCAAAUCCUAAAAAGAUGCCUCAGUUCGGAUUGCACUCUGCAACUCGAGUGCAUGAAGCUGGAAUUACUAGUAAUCGCGGAUCAGCGCGCCGCGGUGAAUACGUUCCCGGGUCUUGUACACACCGCCCGUCACACCAUGGGAGUUGGUUUUACCCAAAGACGACAAGCUAACCGCAAGGAAGCAGUCGGCCACGGUAAGGUCAGCGACUGGGGUGAAGUCGUAACAAGGUAGCCGUACCGGAAGGUGUGGCUGGAUCACCUCCUU